rnacentral:lncRNA from 1 species
AUGGUGCCCAGUGCAUCAAGCAACAGCUGGUACCAUGUAAACACCUUAGCAAGUUGCUGCACUUGUCCAGUUGGUGUGACCGGUGCUCCAUGCAAGCACCAAAGCGCAGUUAUGCAGACAUUUAACGUCACAGAGGCAGUCCCUGUAACCACCACAUCUCUUCUGAGGCGGCUUUUCCAUGGAAUCGCCUCUGGGGGUAGCACUCCAGAGGACUGGUUUGAGACACUGGCUUAUGAAAAGGCUGUGGUGGGCACAUCAGAGGAAGUUGAGGAGACAGCAUUCCUGGAGAAGCAGCUUGAAGACAUUGUUGGGCUCCUGAAGCGCAAGCUGCGUGAGGAUACAACCUUCACUGCUCCAGUGAAAUCCUUUGUGGACACAUUUGGGAAGCUCCACACUGACAGUGCUGUACAGUCAGCAUUGUUUUCCUUCGGGAAAAACGAUCGAGGGCAGUCUAGUGUUCGUGCAAGGCCGAGGGGCUUCCUUCAAACGAGUGCCACUAUAGGUGUCCAACCGACAGCGGUGUCCCGGAGAAAGGCAGCUUUGGGUGGUAGGAGAACCCUUGGAGCUGGCAGACCCCCAAAGAGCUCAAGAAAGGAACAUGGGUACUCCAGACAAGGCAGACCAAAGGGUGUACCACACAACCUGUGA